rnacentral:ribozyme from 13 species
UUUUUUUUUUUUUUUUUUUUUUUUUUUUUUUUUUUUUUUUCC